UAAGACGAACCGUGCGAACGUUGUUCGGAAUCACUGGGCUUAAAGGGCGCGUAGGCGGGCUGCCAAGUCUGGGGUGAGAUCCUCCGGCUCAACCGGAGAACGGCCUCGGAUACUGGCGGUCUCGAGGGAGGUAGGGGCGUGCGGAACUAAGGGUGGAGCGGUGAAAUGCGUUGAUAUCCUUAGGAACUCCGGUGGCGAAGGCGGCACGCUGGACCUCUUCUGACGCUGAGGCGCGAAAGCCAGGGGAGCAAACGGG
rnacentral:rRNA from 1 species